rnacentral:tRNA from 2 species
GCCCUCAUGGUAUAAUGGACAGAACACAGGCCUCCGAAGCUUGAGAUGCAGGUUCGAUUCCUGCUGAGGGCACCA